rnacentral:lncRNA from 1 species
UUUUUUUUUUUUUUUUUUUUUUUUUUUUGGUGUCUUUCUAGGGCUGUGCCCACGGCAUAUGGAGGUUCCCAGGCUAGGGGUCUAAUUGGAGCUGUAGCCACUGGCCUACACUACAGUUCCCUACAACGCCUGAUCCUUAACCCACUGAGUGAGGCCAGGGAUUGAACCUGCAACCUCAUGAUUCCUAGUCCGAUUUGUUUCCACCGCACCAUGACAGCAACUCUCAAAUUUAAAUUCCUAAAGGAGGAAAAGCCAGUGAGAAUGAAGUCAUACCACAGAUGCUGGAAAAGCUCAUCCAUAAGCACCAUCUACCUCUGAGCAAAGAUCCCCACCCCACCUCCAUCACUAAGUCUAGCCUGCAUAGCUAGGCAGCGACCCCUCUCCGGUGAUAACAGCUGGGGGUUUAACCCCGGGAAAGAGUGAACCUGAGAGCAUCUUGAUGUGAGAUUACAGGGCAAAGCUGAGGGCAGUGGUGAGGAUGGAGCUGCAAGUGGGAAUCGAGUGGAAGUUCAAACUAAGUGUUGAGAUACCCUGCCCCCUUCGCUUGUAGAAUAUUCACAGCCAAGUUUACACCCUUAGGCAGGGGAUAGAAAUCUUCCUCUCUGGAGCAACGAGUGAAAAGAUCAACAUCACUGACACUUGGUGGCUUCCUGACACCUGAAAUCCUGAAAUCCUUCAAUCAACACGCCCUUCUAGAUGCAAAGCAUCCAAAAAGGGUUUUUGUUUGUUUGUUUUUGUUUUUUUUUUUGUCUUUCUGCCUUUUCUAGGGCUGAAUCCUCGGCAUAUUGAGGUUCCCAGGCUAGGGGUCUAAUCGGAGCUGUAGCUGCCAAGCCUACGCCAGAGCCACAGCAACGCAGGAUCCGAGCCGCAUCUGCAACCUACACCACAGCUCACGGCAAACGCCGGAUCCUUAACCCACUGAGCAAGGCCAGGGAUCGAACCCGCAACCUCAUGGUUCCUAGUCGGAUUCGUUAACCACUGUGCCACAACGGGAACUCCAAAACCCCCAAUAUUCUUCAAAAGUGUCAAAGUCAUAAAAGACAAGGAAAGACCGAACUGUCACAGCUUGGAGGCGAUUAAUGAUACGUGAAAGGACGUCAAUAGAAAGACUUGUGUGUGAAUAGUCCGUACUUAGUGGUAUUGUCACAAUGUCAGUUUCUUAGUUUUGAUAAUUGUACUUUGAUUUUGUAAGAUGUUAACAUCAGGGGAAGCCGGGUGAAGAAUCCAUGGGGAACUCUCCGGAUUAUCUGUGCAAAUCUUUGUAAGCCUAAAAUUAUUUCAAAAUAAGGUUUUGUUUUGUUUUUCUUUAGUGAAAACAGAAGUUUGUUUUUUUUUUUUUUUAAAGGCAUCAGAAGGGUUGGAAAAUAAAAAUGAGAAACUCUCCCACAUGGUAGAACAAAAAGGAAAAGAAGGAAAAUGAGAGGUUCUUACAAGGGAAUGCCCUUAUUAAUUAAGAGAUCUAGAAGUAAGAAAUGAAGAAACCAUUAUGGAAAUAAUACAAGAAACAUCCCAGAACAAAUUAUGAUUUUUGAGGUUGAAAGGAUCUCUGAGUGCUCAACACAAUAAUGAAAUCUGACUUACCAAGGCAUAUCCUUGUGAAAUUUCAGAACAGAGGAGACAAGAAGAAAAUCCAAAACCACCGACCAUGGCCACACUUUGAAUGGUCUUGAAAUCACCUUGAAUCAAAAAAUGUUUCCUGCCAGGGAUCAGUUAAAACAGAAGCUUUCUUUCAGGGAAUGCCUGCUGAGGGUUGAGAACCACGGUCCUAAAAGCUUCCAAAGAAAAGAAAAGUAGAUCACUUAGAAAAAGUCAGGAAUCAGUAUCACAACUUCCCAAGAGAGGCAGGGUAAACAAGAACCCCAGAACCCAGUGGAGCAAUGCCUUCUGAAAGAAAAUGUCUUCUCACCCGGAAUUCAGAUUCUAUUACCUAGACAGUCUGCUCUCAGCCAGCUACUUCUCCUCCUAAUAAUUCCACCUUGCCCUUUCCUAUCUGUUGCACCCUUCAGAGUUCUUUUCCUUGAGCCAUAAUAUCCAACCCCCAUCCCAGCCAUCCCUGACGCCAAAUGGGUAUUGUCUUGAGCUUUGACUCCAGCUGACCGGUCUGGUUUCUUGUAGCGCUGUGUUUGAUCCGAGCUCAGCGGCAAAUGGAGCCACAUUGGCAUUCAUUCGCUGUACCUGCCGUGGGCAUGAAGAGUGGCAGACUGCAAAGUCCAACUCAGAGCCCACUUUCUCCACGGAAUCUCAGAUUGCUCCAAUCCACCAUUCGCCUUUCCCUUUUCUGAGUGCCUGGCACACUUAGAGUGAUUUUCCUUCUUUGGCACCAUGUUAAUCUUCCCAGCUAGAUGGAGAGUCUUCAAGGACAGAGAUUGGGCCAUCACUGGGCAUUAUUUUGUGUUUUUUCCCUGCACCGAGGGCCAUGCUCUAGACACUGUAAAUGCUCAGAAUACAUUUGAUUGGUUUGUGGAGGUGAAAGUGAAGUGGAAAAUGUGCCCUCUGCAGGUAUGGAAGGAAAGCAUUCCUCUGAAAACUUCUACCACCUUGAUCUGACCUUUACAGAGCAAAUUAACAGAGGCUUCUUCAUAACAUUUAAUAUCCUCCCCGGACAUUCUUGUCUAUAUUAGGUCUUGGCAUCAUGAAAUAUUCAACUUUCAAAAAGGCCUACCUAUACCAAAAAAACAAAAAAACAAAAAACAAAAA